rnacentral:RNase_P_RNA from 1 species
AGAGCAAAUGGCUCUAUCGCUAUCCCAAUUAUAGGGAUGGAGGAAAGUCCGGGCAACACAGGGCAUCCUGCUUCCUAACAGGAAGGCACCUUGUAAUAAGGGUGACAGAAAGUGCUACAGAAAACAAACUACCCCGAUAUUUUAUCGGGGAAAAGGUGAAAACGUGAGGUAAGAGCUCACGACUUUGUGUGGUGACAUACAUCGUGGUAAACCUCAGGAGUUGAAAGACCAAAUAAAUCCCGAACGCCGGAGCUGCCCGCUUCGCUGUUGCAGAAACUAUCGGGAAGGGUGGGUCGUUAAGAUCAUGACAGCAAUGUUAUGGCAAGAUAAAUGAUAGAGGAUACCUGUAGAAAUACAGGAUCACAGAACCCGGCUUAUAAAUUUGCAUUUAUU